UGGGGAAUAUUGCACAAUGGGGGAAACCCUGAUGCAGCGACGCCGCGUGAAGGAAGAAGUAUCUCGGUAUGUAAACUUCUAUCAGCAGGGAAGAAAAUGACGGUACCUGACUAAGAAGCCCCGGCUAACUACGUGCCAGCAGCCGCGGUAAUACGUAGGGGGCAAGCGUUAUCCGGAUUUACUGGGUGUAAAGGGAGCGUAGACGGAGCAGCAAGUCUGAUGUGAAAGGCAGGGGCUCAACCCCUGGACUGCAUUGGAAACUGUUGAUCUUGAGUACCGGAGGGGUAAGCGGAAUUCCUAGUGUAGCGGUGAAAUGCGUAGAUAUUAGGAGGAACACCAGUGGCGAAGGCGGCUUACUGGACGGUAACUGACGUUGAGGCUCGAAAGCGUGGGGAGCAAACAGGAUUAGAUACCC
rnacentral:rRNA from 1 species